rnacentral:rRNA from 1 species
UACGUAGGGGGCAAGCGUUGUCCGGAAUCAUUGGGCGUAAAGAGCGUGUAGGCGGCCAGAUAAGUCCGCUGUGAAAUCUCGAGGCUCAACUUCGAGCUGUCGGUGGAAACUGUCUGGCUAGAGUCCGGAAGAGGAGAAUGGAAUUCCUGGUGUAGCGGUGAAAUGCGCAGAUAUCAGGAGGAACACCGAUGGCGAAGGCAGGUCUCUGGGCCAUUACUGACGCUGAGGAGCGAAAGCGUGGGGAGCGAACAGG